GUUCAGGAAGCUUUAAUUGUGCAAUGCAGCGAAACGCCAAACUUUUGCACGCGUUUGCUUUUCUGAAUGGAAGUCAAUGGGACGAAAAGUGGUAUCGACUGGGAGAAUCUCCUCUCCACCGCACGCUACACGAUGAUUAUAGAGAAGAGAAGAAAUACGCCCGAAUCAACGCUGCAAACGAGCGAUUAAGCGAUGCGGCUACUACCAUGAGUACACAAAGCCAUGUGCGAUGAGUGUCUACUAGAGGCCAGCAACUCACGGAUUCGCGGAUUUGAUGGAAGAAGAAGAGUCAGCCGCUCCUGUCUUGUGCUGUUUGAACUCUCAAUCUGGCGGCACCCAUUCACUGCAGAGGAUCCAUUGGAGGGCAAGUGAUAUAAUGCUAAAUUUCUACAAAUCUGUUGUGUUGAAGAGACAAGCUCAUCUACAAUCUGGACAGCUUGCAAGAGUGCGGAAGAAUAUGGCCUGAUAUGGAUCACCUCAGAUUUAAUAUCUGUGGCGAUUGUCAUCGGCAUCUUCAUUUUUCAGAACUGGGCCAUUUACCGGGUUGGAUAGAUCCAGGCCAGUAUGCGAUGGCCGGCUCUCUCAUUCCUCCUUCGUAAGUCGUGCCUUUGCCACAUCUCAUCAGUCCUGCG